rnacentral:rRNA from 1 species
ACCAGACUUUUUCCUAGUGGAUCAUCCGGUGUUCUCACCGGUGCACUUCGCUAGGUUUAGGCCAGCAUCGGUUUUGGUGGGCGGAUAAAGGCCUUGGGAAUGUAGCUUCUUUCGGGGAGUGUUAUAGCCCUCGGUGCAAUGCGCCCUACCGGGACCGAGGACCGCGCUUCGGCUAGGAUGCUGGCGUAAUGGUUGUAAGCGA